UGAGACGUAGCUCAGGGGCAGAGUGCUUGCCUAGCAUGCACAAAGUCCUGGGUUUGAUCCCCAGCACCACAA
rnacentral:tRNA from 1 species